rnacentral:lncRNA from 1 species
AAUAUUAUUAUAGUAUAAAAUAAUAUUAAAAUAUAAGAGUGAGUCUGGUAUGCUUCUGGAAGCACGGAGCGUUCCGUGCUUCCAAGUCGUUUUGGAUGUUGGGACUUUCGAAUCGACGAUCAACUCCGUUACACUUAAUCUAAAGUAUUUUAAGUAUCUAGAAAAUAAAUUUUGUGAUUUUUUUAUAUCAUUUGCCUAGUAAUCGAAGUGGCUCAAAAUCAACGGCUGAAAAUAAAAAUCUUACAAAAUAUGAUGAUAUGACAUUAAAAUUUUAGAUAAAAAAUAUUGACCUUGUUUUAUAUAGUAUAAAAAAUUUUCUAUCAAAAUUUCACGUGAUUUGGAUAUUUCUACACCGUUAAAUUGCAAACGGCUCCCCACGGUCAUUAAAAUUAUUGAUUUUGAGCCCCUUUGAUCACUAGGCAAAUGAUAUCGAAAAAUUACAAAAUUUAUUUUCUAGGUACUUCAAAUACUCUAGAUCAAGUUUAAUGAAGCCGAUCGUCGAUUCAAAAAUCCCAAUAUCAAAAACGAUUUGAAAGCACGAAUACUCCGUGCUUUCGGAAGUAUAUCAGCUCACUCAAAAUAUAAUAUAAUAGACUAUAAUUA